CUAUAUCGUUGGUAAAGAGGGAGCAACAUUUAAUGUUUUAAGAAAACAAGAAGAGUCCUGUUUGAUCAGUCCAAAGGUCAUCAGAUCCAGCAUUCUGUUUCUCACAGUGACCAACCAGGAAAAAACCCAAGGCAGUUCAAACAAUCUGCAAUCAACAUAAUUAUCAUUUCACAUCAAAGAUCAACUUAAACCAUAACAAGCUCCUCUGCCAGCAUCUCCCUGAGAACAAGCACUUUCCUCAUUUUGAUACAUCCUCAAAAUUGUAGAUGGAAGGUCCAGCUUUCUAAAUACAGAUGUCUUCUCUCUCCUUCAGCCGGAAGAGCUCAUAAAGGGACAGUACCGUAACAGAGUAGCACCUGCCCCGUACCUCCUCUAACAAAACAUCAGUUCCUUUCACAUUUGCAAAGCAAAAAAUCAAACAGAAAUUCAGCAGAUGAAGCUUUUGCCAGAAUGAAAAUGGGGAAAUCUUUACUUACUGUUUUUGGCUUGUUUGUUGGACAUGAAACUGUUGCAGGCAUCGGAGUCUGGCCAGAAAAAGGUUGGCAGCCAUAACAAUAGAUGUAAUGUCACUGGGUAUAGUUGUUUGGGUUUAGUUGUUUGUUUUUUUAAACUAAGAUUGCCACAUUUCCCCCUUGACAGUAGCAUGACUAUCAAAAAUAGUCAGUGACACUUUCUGCAUUACUCCAUUUUCUUCCAGAGAAAAUCUGUACCUGUUGAAUUGCUGAACAUCACAAAGCUGCUAAAGCAAAGGGAAGGUGGUAACCUGAUACCAUUCUGUUCUGAAAGCUCAAAGUUCAAAGAUGUUUUGACAAACUCACACUUUGGGAGGCUGAGAAUUAAGCUGAAUGCUUUUGUAGAGGAAAUACAUGGUGAAUCAUUUUAUUGUAUUUGGAAUCCAACAUUUAUUUUGAACUAUGCUGUUAUUGCUUGUGAAUGCUAUUUACUUGUGACUGA